GAAGUGGUUAAUAAUAACCAAGAAUGCAUUUUUAUUAUAUCUUUAUAGUUACUUUUCUUUCCCAUUUCAGAUCUCAAAAAGUUUCUGUCAUAUGCCAACGAAUAAUAAAACAACAGCAGUUUUUAUUGAAUGGGAUGAAUUUCCUAAGGCAGGAAAUCCUGAAUUUUAUUUUUUAAAAUACCAACUUGUUAAUAAUUUUGCUGAAAAAAAUAUCAAAAGCAUUCUUGUAAAUCCACAAGAGCUUUCAAAAUCAAUAACAUUAGAGGAAAAUGAAGACUAUCACAUCAUUCUACAGUCCCUAAAAUAUGGACAAAUUUUAAGUGAAAAGUCAUUUAAAGUCCGUAGUUUCUCAACUAGCAAUAUUAAAACAGUAGUGACAAGCACGAGUGUUUCUUUUAAUUGGAGUGUACUGUCUUCCAAUGACAUUUCAGUGUCAAUAUCUCUCAAUAAUUCUUCACAAAUUAUGCCAAAUAAUGUUACAGUUAAUGAGUGGGAUAAUUUAAAACCUAGAAGCCUAUAUACUUUUAAAUUUGAAUUUAAACAGUUGUAUUUGGAUUUUAUAAAUAUAUUGCAGAGACUGGAUGUUCAAGUAGAAACAGGUAUGCAAAUAUCGGGUUCAUUAUUAAUAUAUUAUAUAUCUUGUAGAUAACUU
rnacentral:lncRNA from 1 species